UUUGGUGACUAUUGCGGUGGUGUUCACCUCUUCCCAUUCCGAACAGAGAAGUUAAGCCCACCAGCGCCGAUGAUACUGCAGUUAAUGUGGGAAAGUAGGUCGUUGCCAACU
rnacentral:rRNA from 1 species